rnacentral:rRNA from 1 species
UGAGGAAUAUUGCGCAAUGGGGGCAACCCUGACGCAGCGACGCCGCGUGAGUGAGGAAGGCCUUCGGGUCGUAAAGCUCUGUCAAAGGGAAAGAAGUGCAUGGUGGCUAAUACCUGCCAUGUUUGACGGUACCCUUAAAGGAAGCACCGGCUAACUCCGUGCCAGCAGCAGCGGUAAUACGGAGGGUGCAAGCGUUGUUCGGAAUCACUGGGCGUAAAGGGCGCGUAGGCGGUUUGAUAAUUCAGAUGUGAAAUCCCACGGCUUAACUGUGGAAUUGCAUUUGAAACUGUCAGACUUGAGUAUCGUAGGGGAAAGUGGAAUUCCCGGUGUAGAGGUGAAAUUCGUAGAGAUCGGGAGGAAUACCGGUGGCGAAGGCGACUUUCUGGCUGAAUACUGACGCUGAGGCGCGAAAGCGUGGGGAGCAAACA